rnacentral:tRNA from 1 species
GCCCGCUUAGCUCAGCGGUAGAGCGCCUGCCUUACAAGCAGGAUGUCGCUGGUUCGAACCCGGCAGCGGGCA